rnacentral:rRNA from 1 species
GACGAACGCUGGCGGCGUGCUUAACACAUGCAAGUCGAACGGAAAGGCCCUGCUUUUGUGGGGUGCUCGAGUGGCGAACGGGUGAGUAACACGUGAGUAACCUGCCCUUUACUUUGGGAUAACUUCAGGAAACUGGGGCUAAUACCGGAUAUGAGCUCCUGCUGCAUGGUGUGGGUUGGAAAGUUUCGGCGGUUGGGGAUGGACUCGCGGCUUAUCAGCUUGUUGGUGGGGUAGUGGCUUACCAAGGCUUUGACGGGUAGCCGGCCUGAGAGGGUGACCGGCCACAUUGGGACUGAGAUACGGCCCAGACUCAUACGGGAGGCAGCAGUGGGGAAUAGUGCAAAAUGGGCGGAAGCCUGAUGCAGCAACGCCGCGUGCGGGAUGACGGCCUUCGGGUUGUAAACCGCUUUCGCCUGUGACGAAGCGUGAGUGACGGUAAUGGGUAAAGAAGCAACGGCUAACUACGUG